rnacentral:tRNA from 1 species
GGGAUGUGGCUCAGUGGUAGAGCACUUGCCUACCCUGCACAAGGCUCUGGGUUCAAGUCCCAGCACACA